GAUGAACGCUGGCGGCGUGCCUAAUACAUGCAAGUCGAGCGAACGGACGAGAAGCUUGCUUUUCUGAUGUUAGCGGCGGACGGGUGAGUAACACGUGGAUAACCUACCUAUAAGACUGGGAUAACUUCGGGAAACCGGAGCUAAUACCGGAUAAUAUUUUGAACCGCAUGGUUCAAAAGUGAAAGACGGUCUUGCUGUCACUUAUAGAUGGAUCCGCGCUGCAUUAGCUAGUUGGUAAGGUAACGGCUAACCAAGGCAACGAUGCAUAGCCGACCUGAGAGGGUGAUCGGCCACACUGGAACUGAGACACGGUCCAGACUCCUACGGGAGGCAGCAGUAGGGAAUCUUCCGCAAUGGGCGAAAGCCUGACGGAGCAACGCCGCGUGAGUGAUGAAGGUCUUCGGAUCGUAAAACUCUGUUAUUAGGGAAGAACAUAUGUGUAAGUAACUGUGCACAUCUUGACGGUACCUAAUCAGAAAGCCACGGCUAACUACGUG
rnacentral:rRNA from 1 species